rnacentral:rRNA from 1 species
UACAGAGGGGGCAAGCGUUGUUCGGAAUUACUGGGCGUAAAGGGCUCGUAGGCGGUCUGUCGCGUCGGGCGUGAAAACUCAGGGCUUAACCCUGAGCCUGCUUCCGAUACGGGCAGACUAGAGGUAUGCAGGGGAGAACGGAAUUCCUGGUGUAGCGGUGGAAUGCGCAGAUAUCAGGAGGAACACCGGUGGCGAAGGCGGUUCUCUGGGCAUUACCUGACGCUGAGGAGCGAAAGUGUGGGGAGCGAACAGG